rnacentral:rRNA from 1 species
AUUGAACGCUGGCGGAAUGCUUUACACAUGCAAGUCGAACGGCAGCACGGACUUCGGUCUGGUGGCGAGUGGCGAACGGGUGAGUAAUGUAUCGGAACGUGCCCAGUCGUGGGGGAUAACGUAGUGAAAAUUACGCUAAUACCGCAUACGAUCUAUGGAUGAAAGCGGGGGACCGCAAGACCUCGCGCGAUUGGAGCGGCCGAUAUCAGAUUAGGUAGUUGGUGGGGUAAAGGCCCACCAAGCCAACGAUCUGUAGCUGGUCUGAGAGGACGAGCAGCCACACUGGAACGGAGACACGGUCCGGACGCCUACGGGAGGCAGCAGUGGGGAAUUUUGGACAAUGGGCGAAAGCCUGAUCCAGCCAUUCCGCGUGCAGGAUGAAAGCCCUCGGGUUGUAAACUGCUUUUGUACAGAACGAAAAGGUUUCUACUAAUACUAGGAGCUCAUGACGGUACUGUAAGAAUAAGCACCGGCUAACUACGUGCCAGCCGCCGCCGUAA